AGUGUAAAAACAGUGGUUACAAUACCAUGGUUAAAUUUCCGUUUUACCAUGGUUGAAAACGACGGUUAUACACCAUGAUUUUAACCAUGGUUUUAUAAUAGUUUGAAAAUUAUGGUUAUAUAACCAUGGUUUUAACCGUGGUUUUAUGAAAGUGUAAAAACAGUGGUUACAAUACCAUGGUUAAAUUUCCGUUUUACCAUGGUUGAAAACGACGGUUAUACACCAUGAUUUUAACCAUGGUUUUAUGAUAGUUUGAAAAUGAUUGUUAUAUAUAACCAUAUUUUAACCGUGGUUUAAUGAAAGUGUAAAAACAUUGGUUACAAGACCAUGGUUAAACAUUCGUCUUAGCAAGGUUGAAAACAACGGUUAUAAACCAAAAUUUUAACCAUGGUUUUAAGAUAGUUUGAAAACGAUGAUUAUAUAACCAUGGUUUUAACCGUGGUUUAAUGAAAGUGUAAAAACAGUGGUUACAAAACCAUGGUUAAAUUUCCGUUUUACCAAGGUUGAAAACGACGGUUAUACACCAUGAUUUUAACCAUGGUUUUAUGAUAGUUUGAAAAUGAUUGUUAUAUAGCCAUGGUUUUAACCGUGGUUUAAUGAAAGUGUAAAAACAGUGGUUACAAUACCAUGGUUAAAUUUCCGUUUUACCAUGGUUGAAAACGAUGGUGAUACACCAUGAUUUUAACCAUUGUUUUAUGAUAGUUUGAAAAUGAUUAUUAUAUAACCAUGGUUUCAUCCGUGGUUCAAUGAAAGUGUAAAAACAGUGGUUACAAUACCAUGGUUAAAUUUCCGUUUUACCAUGGUUGAAAACGAUGGUUAUACACCAUGAUUUUAACCAUGGUUUUAUAAUAGUUUGAAAAUUAUGGUUAUAUAACCAUGGUUUUAACCGUGGUUUUAUGAAAGUGUAAAAACAGUGGUUACAAUACCAUGGUUAAAUUUCCGUUUUACCAUGGUUGAAAACGACGGUUAUACACCAUGAUUUUAACCAUGGUUUUAUGAUAGUUUGAAAAUUAUGGUUAUAUAACCAUGGUUUUAACCGUGGUUUAAUGAAAGUGUCAAAACAGUGGUUACAAAACCAUGGUUAAACAUUCGUCUUAGCAAGGUUGAAAACGACGGUUAUAAACCAUGAUUUUAACCAUGGUUUUAAGAUAGUUUGAAAAUGAUGGUUAUAUAACCAUGGUUUUAACCGUGGUUUAAUGAAAGUGUAAAAACAGUGGUUACAAAACCAUGGUUAAAUUUGCGUUUUACCAAGGUUGAAAACGACGGUUAUACACCAUGAUUUUAACCAUGGUUUUAUGAUAGUUUGAAAAUGAUUGUUAUAUAACCAUGGUUUUAACCGUGGUUUAAUGAAAGUGUAAAAACAUUGGUUACAAAAAGCAUGAUUAAAUUCCCGUUUUACCAAGGUACUAACUUUGUUAGUCUGGGCCUAUAAAGCUUGUCACGACUAACUCAGCUGUGCAUGGACUAACGAAGGUUUUUCAUUACUUGUAUUUCGUAAAAAGACAGGCUUGACUAUUUGUGGUUUCUGACUAACUAACUUUCGGCCAUCCAAAGGCAUGACUAAAAUUAUAAAGGCCUGCGACCUGAAUUACUAACUAAGCAGGGCCGUUGUUGUUGAUCUUGAAGGUAGUCGGGCCGGGGGUGGCAGCUGGUGUUUUUUUUUUUUUUUUAAUAGGACUAUAUUAUCUUUUUGUAUAAUUUCAAAAUAUGUCUGCCCAGUCACUAAACAUUGUCUGUCUAUACGUAUAUAUAUAUCAUUUGUCAUUUUGAACCUGUCUACUUUAUAAUUGUGUUCAACACGAAUUUCGCGCAUUCCCCGCCUGCCCCCCCCCACCCCUCCCGCUCAUUUUCGCGCCCUUUUUUAUGCGCGUCGAUGUACUAGUAGUACCACCGAGUACCACAUGUGUAACGCACAACCCGCACAUGUAUGCUAUACACACCAUAGACAAAUGCACACACACACACACGUACGCCGUGCAUGCAGAAUAGAUACAAUCAGCUUAAUGCUGCGCUUCGAAGGCCAAGGGCUAGCUAAGCUUCAAGUUCAUGAAAUUCAGGCAAUUAACUGCAUUCAACUAAUUUUUUAACUGAAACUAUAGGAGAACAGACAAUUUAUGGAACUGUCAGGAGAUAGUUAACGGUACAAAUUUUUAUUGAUAUAUGGCCAAAAUCAAAGAAGGGUGUUGGUAACCAACAAGUCAGAGGAGACCUCAAAACAGGAGCUGCUUAGGGUGGUGUGCACAACAUUUGGAGUGAAAGAAGAAGAUAUUUUUCCUGCAGACAUGGCAAGACAAAUUCUACGAUUUUGCAGACAUGGAAGAGGACGAACUUGUGACAGGGCCAUUGAGAGUAAAAAUUACAAACUACCUGUGGUCCUCGGUGCACAGCAACUGGUGAAUGGUGGAGAGCACAUAGAGUGGAUGAGCACUGAACAAAAGGCAGCCAGACUUCAAGAGAGUUGAGUUCUGCAUGCAGAAGACACUGGCAGACAGAAGGGCAUGGAUCAUAAAUUCUGUCCCUCGGCCAAGGAUCACUGAUGACCGACUGAAGUAUCCUUGGCUCUUUGAUGAGGAUCAGGUAAUCUAUGCAGAGUUUUCUCACCAGAUUUUGAAAUAUACUGAAUAUCCCGAGAUUGAUUGAAUGCUGACGGACGUUGAUAGAGUUGCUUACUCAAUGUUUCCCUAUUACAGUGAUUUACAGAAUGUAUUGGAAACUUCUAACUCCACAUGGAUUAUCCAAACUUGCUCAUAAACUUAAUUUAUUCAAGACUGCGUAAGGUGUGAACUUCAUAUGUGGUCCUUGUAUGUAAAAUUCAGGUUAUUUUCUUGUCAAAGCAAUAUCACCUAAACAGCUUGAGGUAUGGAUGUAAAAACUUGGUGUUUAACAUGUACCAUCAUUAGGAAGACGAUUUGAAUGGAUUUUGGAAUAUGUAGGUCAAAGGUCAAUUUGUGAAAUUUAUUUGUUUAAACACAUGGGCCCGUAUUCUGAUAGCAGGUUUAAAUUAACCCUAGUCUAAAGUUAACCCUAGUUUAAUUAAACCUCCUCUAAACCUCACCUCUGGUCCAAGUGUAGUUUAAUUAUUUUGGUAUUCUGAUAGCCGGGUUUAACUAAACCUGGGUUAAACCCGGGUUUAAAAUUCUUUUUGAAAAUAAUAACCCUCUUUUAACCAAGACUAGCACCUUUUUGGUAAAUUACUGCUGCAGGGGUGAUUGCAACAAAGUUGAAAAAAUGGCACUAAAGUCGUUUUUUCUUUAAAAAAUUGAUA